rnacentral:lncRNA from 1 species
AUAUAUACAUAUACACAUAUAUAACGCCGUUUGAGUCAUGGGUCAAUGUACCUGUAUAAAUGCAUAAGAAAUACAUUAAUAAGAUUUUCUCGGAAUGUUAGAAAACUCAAUAUGCCUUUCGGAUAAACUUUAUCAAAUAUGUAUUUUUUAAGACCCAUGAAUAGAUGAUAGAGUAAUAUGACACAUGGGGAAUCAAGAACAUAAGCACUUCUAGUACUUCUAUGAAUAGAAUCAUUUAUGAAAGCUGUGCAUUUACUUGUUUCGUUUGUAUCGUAUGGAUCAUGCCAAAAGAAAGAAGGGAUAGCCUUAAUAUACCUGAACCGAUUUUCUUGAGAAAAAUUGCACUGUACUUCCUUAAAAUUGGAAAAUCUUAUGUUGCUAAGGUGCUAAGAAAUUUUGUUGGAAUCUCGUUGGAUUCACGUUGCUAACGUUGGAUCACUGUAUGAAUUGGAGAAGUCUUUUGAAAUUCCUCACAUUACUUUAAGUUGGAGAAGUCUUAUGAAAUUUCUCAAAGUUGUGAGCUUUUCCAGCAGUAACCUUGAUUUCUU